rnacentral:rRNA from 1 species
GCUAGUAAUCGCGGAUCAGAAUGCCGCGGUGAAUACGUUCCCGGGCCUUGUACACACCGCCCGUCACACCAUGAGAGUUGGGAAUACCCGAAGCCUGUGAGCUAACAUUUAUGAGGCAGCAGUCGAAGGUAGAAUCAAUGAUUGGGGUGAAGUCGUAACAAGGUACC